rnacentral:rRNA from 1 species
AUUGAACGCUGGCGGCAUGCCUUACACAUGCAAGUCGAACGGCAGCACGGGAGCAAUCCUGGUGGCGAGUGGCGAACGGGUGAGUAAUAUAUCGGAACGUGCCCAGUCGUGGGGAUAACGUAGCGAAAGCUACGCUAAUACCGCAUACGAUCUAUGGAUGAAAGCGGGGGAUCGCAAGACCUCGCGCGAUUGGAGCGGCCGAUAUCAGAUUAGGUAGUUGGUGAGGUAAAGGCUCACCAAGCCGACGAUCUGUAGCUGGUCUGAGAGGACGACCAGCCACACUGGGACUGAGACACGGCCCAGACUCCUACGGGAGGCAGCAGUGGGGAACUUUGGACAAUGACGCAAGUCUGA